GCAGAAGUAGUUCAGCGUUAGAAUACAACCUUGCCAAGGUUGGGGUCGCGGGUUCGAAUCCCGUCUUCUGCUCCA
rnacentral:tRNA from 1 species